GAGUCUUUAGUGGGCAAGAGAGGAAAAAUGCUCUUUGAAGCAGGGGAUGCCAUGCUGCCACUACCUAUUGAAUCCACUGGCAUAUUCCUUUUCCUUUUCUUUUUUGGCAUUUUACUGCCUCUCAAGAGUCACAAUUUCCAGUGAAAGAAUAAGUAUCAUCCAGCCUUCCAAUUUGCUUGAAGAAUUAAUUCAAGAUUUUUGUUUGAUGAAGAAAUGGACAGGGAAUCCAUGAACUUUAUUCUCCUGGUGAAGAAACACGCUUGCUUUUGCCAUCAAGUACAGGAAAUGGUGUUUGAUAAGCCUCUAUCUUGCUGCCACUGAAUUUCUUUUGAUUGAGCAUGAAGUAAAAUACAAUGUUUGGACCCUUUUCUCUGCCACAUUUAGUAAGUCAUCUGUCUGUCGUAGACAGUAAUUUCCUAUUUUGGCUCUUUCGAACCAGAUUUUGUUUCCUUCU